rnacentral:rRNA from 1 species
AUAACAUCCGGAAACGGGUGCUAAUACCGCAUAGUUUUCUUGAUCGCAUGAUCGGGAAAGGAAAGACGGCCUUUGUGCUGUCGCUUAUGGAUGGACCCGCGGCGUAUUAGUUAGUUGGUGAGGUAACGGCUCACCAAGACGAUGAUACGUAGCCGACCUGAGAGGGUGAUCGGCCACAUUGGGACUGAGACACGGCCCAAACUCCUACGGGAGGCAGCAGUAGGGAAUCUUCCGCAAUGGACGAAAGUCUGACGGAGCAACGCCGCGUGAGUGAAGAAAGGUUUUCGGAUCGUAAAACUCUGUUGUCAGAGAAGAACAAGUUGGAGAGUAACUGCUCCAGCCUUGACGGUAUCUGACCAGAAAGCCACGGCUAACUACGUGCCAGCCGCUGC